CAACAGCAGCAGCCGCAAGCCACCACCCUCACUGCCCCUCAGCCACCACAGUCUGUGCACUUGCCGGGUAAACCCCAGACAUUGGCUGUCAAACGCAAGGCUGACUCUGAGGAGGAGAGAGAUGAUGUCUCCACAUUGGGUUCAAUGCUUCCUGCCAAGGCAUCUCCAGUAGCAGAAAGCCCAAAAGUCAUGGACGAGAAGAGCAGUCUUGGAGAAAAAGCUGAAUCAGUGGCUAAUGUGAAUGCUAAUACUCCAAACAGUGAACUAGUAGCCUUGACCCCCGCC
rnacentral:lncRNA from 1 species